rnacentral:rRNA from 1 species
GAUGAACGCUAGCUACAGGCUUAACACAUGCAAGUCGAGGGGAAACGACAUCGAAAGCUUGCUUUUGAUGGGCGUCGACCGGCGCACGGGUGAGUAACGCGUAUCCAACCUGCCCAUCACUUGGUGAUAACCUUGCGAAAGUAAGACUAAUACCCAAUGAUAUCUCUAGAAGACAUCUGAAAGAGAUUAAAUAUUUAUCGGUGUUGGAUGGGGAUGCGUCUGAUUAGCUUGUUGGCGGGGUAACGGCCCACCAAGGCAACGAUCAGUAGGGGUUCUGAGAGGAAGGUACCCCACAUUGGAACUGAGACACGGUCCAAACUCCUACGGGAGGCAGCAGUGAGGAAUAUUGGUCAAUGGGCGAGAGCCUGAACCAGCCAAGUAGCGUGCAGGAAGACGGCCCUAUGGGUUGUAAACUGCUUUUAUAAGGGAAUAAAGUGAGAGUCGUGACUCUUUUUGUAUGUACCUUAUGAAUAAGGACCGGCUAAUUCCGUG